GGGAGACAUGGGAGACAUAUUUUCUGGGGCAAAAGUGGAGAUGGGAAGGAUGAGGAGGGGAGGGCCAGCAGAAGUGAAAAGCAAGGAGAAAUGAGGCUGCAGGUGACGAACCUGACAAAAACAGAAGUAAGAGAGCAGCAGAAAAGAUGCAACAAGAAAGAGGAGAGAGAAAAAGAAAUGCAGAAGGGAUCACGGCCAGGAUGGAAGGAUAGCAGAUAAUGAGGCAAAGAGAUAUCAGAAGUCAUCCUGUACUGGGGCCCAAGGUGUCUGAGGGCACCCAAAGGGGUGGUGGUCCUGCAGGGGAGGUGUUCCCUGGGGCUUGUGCUACCAGUUUCUCCUCUGUCCCAUACACAGAGCCCCCAGGACUGAAGCAGCAAACACGUAUUCUCCCCCAGUGGCAAAUGAGGCCACGUGUUACCCAGCUGCAUUCCAAUAACAGCGGGGUUAAUUUUUGAUGCUAUUUAAUUUCAUCAGCUCUGUGGGGUGGGGAGAGGGGAAGAGCUGUGUAAGAUGGUGUGAUGGGUGGAAAAAUCUCCGGACAUCACUGUGUCUGGUGGCCAGAGAAGGGAAAAGGGCCUGGCAGCUCCCUCUCCUCAGCUUUGGAAGGCAGCAGUUUUUCAGGACAUCAAAUACUUAAUUAACUGAGCUGCAGGAUUGUGGGAUAAGAUUCAUGCAGUUGCUUCUCUGCUGGAAACCAAGAGUGUCAGCCUGGACCGCUCUGUUCUUGGAAGCUGGAAAAAGCUCUUCAGAGGUGGACCAUAUGGCCGUCUCCCAGCCCCAGUGCUUACCGGAGCUGUGCUGGGCUUACUGCACCGCGAGACGUGAAGGCUGGCAUGGCAGUGGCGGCUGCGAGGGAUGGGGAGAAGAAGCAGGCCCUGGGUGAUGAGAAUGAUGUUAGCAGCUGGAUGGGCAAGAGACCGAAGCACUAAUCUCUGCAAAUGGGCAGCUUGGAAACUGCUGAAUUUAGUAUUGUUAAUGAAGAUCCCCCUGAGCAAACUGUUCUCCAAGUGAUGUCUGAGACCGUCUCACAGAAGGAAUGGAGCCAACAUCUAUUUCUGCCUGGCAAAAGCAAACAAGUGAACACACAUACUGAGAUCUGUGACUCUCCGAGAGUAUUAGUAAAGGACAAAACUUGCAUAACUGCCAUAAAUUAUAGAAGCCUCCCCCAAUCUUGGUUAAUUCUCUUGUAAAAAGGGAGGGAAAAAUCUGGAGCAGCUCAGCAUGAAAACAGUUGUGGGAGGGAUAAUAAAGAGACAGCACUGAGGUAUCUCAUCGCUAGUGCUGAUAUCAUUAAGUAAGUGCGCUGGAAAUGUCGAGGUAAAUGCAUAGCAGUGAAUCACAGUCAGGCAUGAUUAACCUUGGGUAGUCUGAACUGGAAAUCAUUUACAAACACAAAGGUACUGAAGAACAUCGCAACAGACAGUACAUCGAAAGUCAUCCCAAGAUCGAGGGUCUUUUGGGGUGUUCUGUGUGUUUGUGCCAUUUUUGAAUUGUUGUCAUAUUUUCCAUGUGGAAGGAUGGGUGAUCUCAGACCCCUGGUGAGAUAAGAAGUUACCAUGAAGCUACUGGACCCUCUGAAACACAUGCACUGGUUGGAAUAUUUUUUUUUUCCAAAGACUAAAACCCCAUAUCUAAAAAUAUAUAAAAGACCAAAAGAGCACUCUUUCUCCAUUUCUCUCACCCUCCUUAAACCUGUCCUUCAGCCUACAACUGGUAAAGCUGGGGAGAAAGGGAUUUUAAUAAAAAUUAGAUGUUUUUAACAAAACUGUGAAAGUUUUCUAACCAUUGAAAACUGACCUUCCGUCACAAAACUGAAAGAAUGAAACAUUGCUGAAUAUUUCUGAGCAGUCCUAAAAGUUUAGAAAUGUGCAGUGAAGCUGACCCAUAGAGAGCUGUACAUAUUGAGUACCACAACAAAAAGCCCUUCAAAUCCAGAAUUCUUAUGGCUUUAAAAGCAUUCAAUUACAAGGAACAUGAAUCAACUGGAGAAGACUCAAGACAGCUUAACACCUUUGUAUUGUUUGCACCGUUUAUUGCCAUCCUUUAGCACCAGUUCAGGUGAUUUUUGUGCAUACAGACAUGGUGAAGACCAUAGGAACAGCGUGCAAAAGGACACAAAUCUGCUCAGAUUCUGAUCUUCCUCCUUGGUUUUGCAUAAUUCUCAUUCUCUGACAUUCAUCUCAGUUAUCUCCAGCAUUGUAAUGACUGCCCUUAUUUAUCUGCCUAAUUAGGAUGUUGCAUCAAUUAAUGUGAAUCAUCUAAAGUAUGCCUGUUUCUUAAUGUUUAAUGUUAUUAUCAGGGGAGAGCUACGUCCUACCAGAGUCCAUCCACAGAGUUAAUGCAUACAGGAAAAAAAAAACACACACGAUGUUAUUCAAAACAAUACAUUUCCCAUACCCAAACCCUCUGAACAGCACAGCACAAAUCCUGCACUCUAGAUUUCCCACCUCGCAGGGGUUACGAGCAGCACCUUCAUCCCUUUGGCUCCAGAGCACAGCCCCAGUACCUGAUUUUGAGGCCCUGGAUGGAGCCCAGUGGACAAGGCAGGAGGAAUCUUUUCAGGUGAGACUUGAUGUAAAUGCUUGGUUCAUGAGCGCCUCACUGCCUGAUUCAGGAGGGCAAUCAACCUGUCUUUUGGAGCUGCAUAAAUAACCUUUGGAUGGUGGUAGUAAAUCUACACCAAGGAUGAAUUAACUGCCACUGAGUCACAUAAGCUUGGCUUGAGUAUGUGGCUUGUAACAUGCCUGAGGAAAAUAAAAAAGACAUUUGCAAGAAAGAAACAUUAAUUCGCUCCUCCCCAUCUUUUCUGUUAUUUUUAUCUAGGCCAACACGCCUCGCUUUGUGGGUUUUUCUGCUGCUGUUUGUUUCAUUUCCAUGCGGAAACAAUGAUUCACAACAAAAUGAAUCCACAGGGCAUCCUUUCUGGCUCCCCGCAGUUUCUGCCAGCCGGGCCUGAAGGUGCCACCUCUCCUACAUCAGUGUCUCUCCUUCUCAACAUCCCUACCAGGAGCAGACGGAUGGACUCCUGUGACCCUCAGGGGAGCAACACCUCACAAGAGGGCAUGGGCCUUUCACCAGAAGGACAGAGGGUCCUGCUGGGGUGUCCUCUCCAUGCACAUCUUGCGCUCAGGUGUGAUCUGUCACAUCCCCAAAAGGAAGGACAAGUCUGCAUUCACAGCUGUCUGAGAGCCAGAGGUAAAAGCCUGUCCUAGAAGAAAGUGUAAAUGAGAAGCAGCCUGGGGAAGGCCAACAAAAUGUAGCAGAACAAGAACGGGGAUGUCAGUGUUUACCUACACAUUGAAAUGUGUUAAUCUGCAUCACUGUAGCACUCAGGAAGUCAGUGCUAUUCAAUAACAGACACGUCUUAGUUUACUAACAGCUUUUGCUCUCCCUGCUUUUUCUUUUCCAGUUUGACCUCUGGUUUUCUCUGCCACUGCUCUCAAUUUUAUAUCUGUUUCUGAAAAUUCAGUCUUUGCAAUCUUUUCCCUUUUUCUUAGCUCCAGGCCUCUCAUUUUUUAUUUUUAUUUUUGGUGCAAUACUUGCUGGUUUCCUCCCAUUCAUGUCCCACUUUCUCUCCUGUUUCCUUUUCCACACAAACAAUUUCUCUAACUAGAGGGGCCCCUGCUUCUUGAAUACAGCCAUUUGUCAGGGGUAAAAGUAUUUUCUGCUUCUAAAAUUUGCUCUAGGAACAAGUAUCUGCUGUGGGGAAGCCUUAGCAUAUAGCAACAGCGUAAAGAUAAGCAUUAUAAAUACCCUGUAUAUAGAAAACUGUGCAUCAUUUCAGAAGGACACACUAUUUGUCUUAUUAGGCAAAGAACUUUUCGCACCUAAGCAGGUUUUGAAGUUUGCUGUAUUCCAAAUGGCACACUACAUGGCACAACAUUUAGUCUCAGAGCAAAAUAUAUUAGGGCAUAUCUCUGAACCCCUAUUCUUUUAAGUUCCAAGGUUUAAAGUUUUACGUUGAUAAAGGAGAAUAAAGGAAAGUUAAAACAUUCCUCGUGAAUAAAAUACCAUCUGACUAGCAAAA